AGAAAGAGUGAUCAAUCUGAAUAGUUUUACUAAGGCAUGGACAUCUCCAAGUCCAAAGCUCUUAUUGUCUCACUAAUCUUUCUUCUUUUUCUCUUAUCUGCUGCAGAAAAUCAUGAGCUUAGCAGCAGUAAUAAUAUUGAUGCAAUAUCAAAAGCACUCAAAGCUCGUCCUAAUUAUACAAUAAAUUGUGGAAAAGAAUGUACGAGGAGGUGCAAGUUAGCAUCUAGACAGAAAAUGUGCAUGAGAGCAUGUGGGACAUGUUGUGCCCGUUGCAACUGCGUGCCGCCAGGAACUUCUGGGAAUGAGAAUAUCUGUCCAUGCUAUUCUACUAUGACUACUCAUGGCAAUAGACGCAAGUGCCCUUAAUUAGAUAUGUUUCUGUGUGCGUUUAAGAAAUAAGAAAGAGUAUGAGUUUAAAGGGGUUGUAUGAUCAAGUGAAGAGCUGCUGCUGCUACUGCAUAAUUUCAAAUUAACUAUGGAUCCCCUGGUUAAUUUGGUUGGUACUUGUAGAGUUGUGGUAGUUUAAAAAAUAGAGAAGUUUGAAUAAAAGUCAUAUGAGACAAGGGGGAAUGGGCAAAUGGUAUAGAAGGAAUUUCACAACCUUUUAUACGAACUCCACACUAUAUCUGCCAACUCUAUAAUGUAGAUAUUGCUUAAUUACAUUGCUUUAACUUGAAAAAUAGCAUGAAUAAAUACUGAGUUUUCAUC